rnacentral:rRNA from 1 species
AGAGUUUGAUCAUGGCUCAGAGUGAACGCUGGCGGCGUGCCUAACACAUGCAAGUCGAACGAGAACGGAUAUAAGUUUACUUAUAUUGUCAGCUAAGUGGCGCACGGGUGAGUAAUAUAUAGUUAAUCUGCCCUGAAGAAGAGAAUAAUUGUUGGAAACGACUUGUAAUGCUCUAUAUGCCUUUAUCACAUAAGUGAGCAAGGGAAAUAUUUAUAGCUUCGGGAUGAGACUGUACGGUAUCAGCUAGUUGGUGAGGUAAUGGCUCACCAAGGCUAUGACAUCUAACUGGUUUGAGAGGAUGAUCAGUCACACUGGAACUGAGACACGGUCCAGACUCCUACGGGAGGCAGCAGUGGGGAAUAUUGCACAAUGGAGGAAACUCUGAUGCAGCAACGCCGCGUGGAGGAUGACACAUUUCGGUGCGUAAACUCCUUUUAUUAGGGAAGAUAAUGACGGUACCUAAUGAAUAAGCACCGGCUAACUCCGUGCCAGCAGCCGCGGUAAUACGGGGGGUGCAAGCGUUACUCGGAAUCACUGGGCGUAAAGAGAAUGUAGGCUGGUUUGUAAGUUGGAAGUGAAAUCCUAUGGCUCAA